rnacentral:lncRNA from 1 species
UUUUAGGUAAAUUUAAGUAGAUUUGCAGAAGAUUUUCAGGGGAAUUCAGGUAAUUCUCAGGACAUGAGAAAGUGAAUUUGGAAAACAACUGUAUUUUCGGAAAAAUUAUUAUAUGUCCUGAAAAUUUUUUGUACAUCUGGAAACAUUUUGGUAACCCCCCCCCCCCCCCCCCUCUAUCUAACCUCACACACACCCUGAGACGAAGUGCUAGCAACGGCACUGAG